rnacentral:lncRNA from 1 species
UGAUGAGUGAGGUGUCAUACAUGGUAGCAGAUCCAUGAGUGAGGAAUACAAAUGGAUUGGAGAAGGUUAAGCUUUGUGUGGCUUGCUUUGGUCUUCCAUGAGGGAGAUACUAUAAGUCAAUCUUUCCACAUGCAGUAAUCAGACAUAAGAUACAGCGGAGCAUGGCUGACUCGGGUCCAGAUUGACCUCCUCAGAUCCUCAUGUUUUUGUUGUGGGCCCGCCAAAAUCCAGAUAGAUCUGCCUUAC